rnacentral:rRNA from 1 species
UACGGGGGGGGCAAGCGUUGUUGCGGAAUUACUGGGCGUAAAGGGCUCGUAGGCGGCCAACUAAGUCAUACGUGAAAUCCCUCGGCUUAACCGGGGAACUGCGUCUGAUACUGGAUGGCUUGAGGUUGGGAGAGGAUGCGGAAUUCCAGGUGUAGCGGUGAAAUGCGUAGAUAUCUGGAGGAACACCGGUGGCGAAGGCGGCAUCCUGGACCGAUACUGA